CAAGAGACGCGAUGACGAGUAUGUGCGUGACUCUGGAGGGAAAGGGUCUACAUCUGUCUCUGCUUGUGCCUCGGAUGGGUUUUACAGUAGACGUACCACUGACCCCGCCUCUUCACCAGGUGAGACGUGGUCUUGUAACACAGUGGUUAAGAAUGUGACUUUGGAGCCAGCCUGCUAGGGGCUGAAUUCUGACUCAGCCAUUUACUAACUGUGUGACCUUAGGUGGAGUCUCACUCUGUAGCCCAAGCUGGAGUGGCGUGAUCUCGACUCACUGCAACCUCCGCCUCCUGGGAUCAAGUGAUUCUCGUGCCUCAGCCUCCUGAGUAGCCGGGACUACAGUUGUCCCUUGGUGUGGGAUUGCUUCCAGUACCUCUGUGUGUAACAAAAGCUGCACCAUUCAAGUCCCACAGUUGCCCUGCGAAACCUCUGUAUAUGAAAAGUUGGCCCUCCAUGUACAUGGGUUUCCCAUCCUGUCACAGAAUUUUCCACACUCCUUGACAGAGGUGCUUAACCCUUAUCCAUCAGCAUUCUCAGACAGCACCUCCGGUUAGGGACAGUAUCUGACCGUCCGACAUCCCUGCAGCCCCCAUGUGUCACACAGACUCAGCCUCAGGUAGAUGGUUUCCGUAGAUGGUGGCUUUCUUUGGACCCUUGACAUCAACCAGUUACUAUUUGGGGACCAGAUGUGCAGAGGUAAUGAAUACCAGGGAAUCAGGAAACCACUGGAUCAGUUCUUUGAGCCACAGAACAACACUCAUCCCAGCAGCUGGGAAGCUAUCUGCAAAAGUCCAUCUGCAGAAAGGGCUUCCUGGUCUUGCGUGUGGCUGGGCCAUUUCUCUGGAUGCAGGUUUUUCAUUAUACAGUCUUCUCAAAGAACCACCUGCUCUCAACACCUUCUCGGUGACUCCAUUUCCCCUCCUCU
rnacentral:lncRNA from 10 species